rnacentral:rRNA from 1 species
GAUGAACGCUAGCUACAGGCUUAACACAUGCAAGUCGAGGGGAAACGACAUCGAAAGCUUGCUUUUGAUGGGCGUCGACCGGCGCACGGGUGAGUAACGCGUAUCCAACCUGCCCAUCACUUGGGAAUAACCUUGCGAAAGUAAGACUAAUACCCAAUGACAUCCCACGAAGACAUCUGAAUGGGAUUAAAGAUUUAUCGGUGAUGGAUGGGGAUGCGUCUGAUUAGCUUGUUGGCGGGGUAACGGCCCACCAAGGCAACGAUCAGUAGGGGUUCUGAGAGGAAGGUCCCCCACAUUGGAGCUGAGACACGGUCCAAACUCCUACGGGAGGCAGCAGUGAGGAAUAUUGGUCAAUGGGCGAGAGCCUGAACCAGCCAAGUAGCGUGCAGGAUGACGGCCCUAUGGGUUGUAAACUGCUUUUAUAAGGGAAUAAAGUGGGUCUCGUGAGACUUUUUGCAUGUACCUUAUGAAUAAGGACCGGCUAAUUCCGUG